rnacentral:rRNA from 1 species
AUACGUAGGGAGCGAGCGUUAUCCGGAUUUAUUGGGCGUAAAGGGCGCGUAGGCGGAUUGGCAGGUCUAAGGUUUAAUCCCGAAGCUUAACUUCGGCUCGCCUUAGAAACCGAUUAACUAGAGUAUGGGAGAGGCAAGUGGAAUUUCUAGUGUAGCGGUAAAAUUCGUAGAUGUUAGAAGGAACACCAGUGGCGAAGGCGGCUUGCUGGGCCAUUACUGACGCUGAGGCACGAAAGCGUGGGGAGCAAAUAGGAUUAGAUACCCUAGUAGUCCACGCCGUAAACGAUGGAUACUAAGUGUCGGGCAACCGGUGCUGAAGUUAACGCAUUAAGUAUCCCACCUGAGUAGUACGGUCGCAAGGCUGAAACUUAAAGGAAUUGACGGGG